GGGUCGAUGGCGUAGCUGGUUAUCGCAUCUGUCUAACAUAACCCGGGUUCCAUUUUCAUGUGCGCAGAAGGUCCUCAGUUCGAACCUGAGUCGACUCA
rnacentral:tRNA from 1 species